AACAAUACAUGCUGCCUCCUACACCCCCACCGCAUCCUGCCUUUCCGAAACGACGGAAAACCCGAUACGCCACAUUCCAAAGGUUGCAUCUCUCAAAAAACAUAUUCCCCUGCUGUGGUCUUCUCUAUGAACCGUGUUCUCUUCAAGCAUACAACAACUGUUGCAUCUCUCACAACUCUCCCAGACCAUUUGAAGAGCCUCACAAAUGUCCUUCUUCCUCUCGACUGUGCGACAGUCAAGUGUUCCCUUGAAUUAGCCUCUCGAUUCUCCUCCGUUCUCAUCUCAAGACUGAAUUCUAGGGAAGAAAUUGCCAGUCAUCCAGCCGAUUGGUUUCGAAAUUAAAAGUUCACUUCGUUAGGAUCCACCGAUAUGUGUUAUCCUUCCACUGAGGAGACAAUUCUACUACCUUAGGGACUCCUUAAGUCUUCAGGAAUUCGCAGAUCAAUGUUUUGGAAACAAAGCUGAUUAUGGAAAAGCCAGGCAGAUGCCUAUCAAUUAUGGGUCCACUAAACACAAUUAUGUCUACAUUUCAUCAAGUUGCAUAAGGUAUACAAUGCUGUAUAUUUGGAAAUUGGCACAUGAAUAUUGUAGGGCUUUUUAUUGUCAGAAAAGGAAGGCAACAAAAAAUGUUCCUUGUCUUUCUUGCCAUGCUUGUUAGACAUAUAUAUAACUCCAUUCAUAGAUCCAUGGCCUAAACACAGUCUAUGUGCUCAAUGUAGGCAUAAGGGAGGCUCAAACCAUUCUAGAUUUUGAGAAUUGACAAUUUAUUCAUGGUAUAGGGUCGGAGUUUUCAUGAUCCAGAGAGAAUGUGGACCUCUAUUCACCCCACACUCAGACAGCAAACUCUUCCAAAUCCAGUUAGACUAAGAGCAGUGGAAGAAAAUAUGGACGGUUCUAAAUGUUGUGAUGCACGAGAUCUUAAAUGAGGUAAAAAAACAAUUAUGUGAUGUGAUUCCUAGGAGUGGUUACUAGCAUGCACACUUAGGUGUGAAUUUUGUCACAACCUUAUGCAUAGGGUAAUGCUUUACAAACAUAAAUUAAAUUCAACGGUUUCUGUCUGUAUGAGUUGUCACAGUGUCAGUAACAUGGUCAGUUUCGUCAAAUUUCAAAUGAUAACAUUCAUUUAGAUAUGCAUAAAACUCCUUAAAAUUAGAAUAGGUUUACUCAUCUCAUUUUUUAGUUGAAGUGAAACCAAAUGUUCCACAACCAUUCAGUUAGGCGACCAAAAUCACCAUUCAGUGGUGUGCUGUGCUCGCUAUGUACCUUCAAUGGUUUAGUAUAACUCUAGGAUGAAUGCCUUGUGGUUGGCUAUUCCAAGGUAUACUUUGAUGCUUCCUUUUUCAGUCAUAGUACGACCUUGUUGCAAUGGCAUGGGACCAUACCCAGUCACUUCUUUGAGCUCAAAUGGCCCUGGUUAUUCUUUUGGUUUCCCCUCCUCUCUACUAGAAUGGCUUUUCUUUGGACUUCAGAAGAACAAUAUUGAGAUUCUACUAUUUUAAUUUGAGGGAGAUGCUCAGCCUACUCACUGCUUUAUCCUUUCUCUGCUCUCCAGUGUAAUGGAUAAAUUUUGAGCUCUUAGCAUGUUGGCAUAUACUCUAUAGCCUUCAAUUACAGACAAGUGGAUCCUUUGUGGUAAAUGAUCGUCGUUUUCAUUUAUCUGUUCACAAGUGAAUUGGGGAUGAAUGAUCAUGAUCGAGCAGAUGUGUAUUUAUUCUUUUAUUGUUCUGCUACUUUCUAUUGGUUUUUUUGAAUCUUCUUGAUAUCUUGUACUGCUUUAGGAGAAAAAGAUUAUCAUUUUUUGCACUUGUUCAAAAUGUUGAGGUAUAUAUAUGAACAUCGAUCAACUUGCAUCAAAAUACUAUAUGAACUACGAUGUUAGCUUCCAUGGUGACCUUUGUUACUAAAUACUCCUAUAUAUAGUACUUGACUCAUUUUCUUUUUUCAUCUUUAAAGCAUCACCAGUACCACGUCUGGAUAAGCUAUGUAUGGUUAUGGGAAAGGGUUGCAGGUAUUGAAACCCUUACAAUGAAUUAUUUGAACUUUGUAACUGUUUUAAUUUAUUGUUUUAUCAUGUUAUGAUUCACGAUAUUCAUGAAUAGUUUUAUGCGUUGCAGGUUUGUCUUUUAUUUUCUAUUUUUUGAGGGGCCGCAAUAGUGUGACGCACAAACCGCCAAAAGGUUUCUAACGGGUGGGUGGCUUGGGUUAUUGGGUACAAGUUGCACUAUUUUGGUCUUGGGGUAUCUCUUGUGGAAAGUGAUGUCCUAUUUGUUGAUGUAUUUUUGUUUCUUGUUCUUCUAUUGUCAUGAAC